GGGUGCUCGAGUCCCGGAGGGCUCCGCGGUCCUCAAAACCGUCUGUGGGGUGCUGCAGAAGCAGCCCAGGUGGGUUCCCUUCGCGUUCACUCAGG
rnacentral:tRNA from 1 species